GCACAAUGGGCGAAAGCCUGAUGCAGCAACGCCGCGUGCACGAUGAAGGCCUUCGGGUCGUAAAGUGCUUUUCGGGGAGAUGAGAAAGGACAGUAUCCCCGGAAUAAGGAUCGGCUAACUACGUGCCAGCAGCCGCGGUAAACGUAGGAUCCGAGCGUUAUCCGAAUUUACUGGGCGUAAAGCGCGUGUAGGCGGUUCGGUAAGUUGGAUGUGAAAUCUCCUGGCUCAACUGGGAGAGGUCGUUCAAUACUGUCGGACUAGAGGGUGGUAGAGGGAGGUGGAAUUCCCGGUGUAGUGGUGAAAUGCGUAGAUAUCGGGAGGAACACCAGUGGCGAAAGCGGCCUCCUAGACCGCUCCUGACGCUCAGACGCGAAAGCUAGGGGAGCAAACGGGAUUAGAAACCCCGGUAGUCCUAGCUGUAAACGAUGUGAACUUGGCGUUGGUGGGGUAAAAGCCAUCAGUGCCGAAGCUAACGCGAUAAGUUCACCGCCUGGGGACUACGGCCGCAAGGUUA
rnacentral:rRNA from 1 species